rnacentral:rRNA from 1 species
AACGAACGCUGGCGGCAUGCCUAACACAUGCAAGUCGAACGAGACCUCCGUGCUUGGUGGCUCACGGGUGCGUAAAGCGUGGGAAACUGCCCUUAUGAUCGGAAUAACUCCUCGAGAUAGGUGCUAAUAACGGGGAAUAUCUUUGGACCAGAGCUUUGUCGACUUUGGAUGGGCGCGCGUUGGAUUAGCUAGUUGGUAGGGUAAAAGCCUAUCCAGGCGACGGUCGAUAGCUUGUCUGAAAGGAUGCUCAGCCACACUGGGACUGAGGAGCGGCCUAGACUAGUAAGGGAGGCAGCAGUGUGGAAUAUUGGAGAAUGGGCGAUAGCGCGACGCAGCGAUGCCGCGUGAGGGAUGCAGGUCUUAGGGUUGUAAAGCCCUUUUACCAGGGAUGAUAAUGACAGUACCGGGAGAAUAAGCUCCGGCUAACUCCGUG